CAAAAAAUUUCAGCACAAAUGCAAGAGAGAAAACUCAGCACAUUUGGGGAUGUAGGUUCGGUAGGGCUUGGGUUGAUGGAGGAGCGUGGGUGAACGGUGGCUGGUGGCUGGUGAACGGCGAUGGAGGAGCGUGGGUUCUCGCCUCCAGCAAGCGUGGGCUCUUGGGACCCAGGGAAAUCCUCUCCAGCGUCGUGGGUUCUUGUCUCCAGCACCUCAGCUCGCGGCGGCGGCGUGCGUUCUCAGCGGUGGGGGAAAUUUCUGGGUUGACGUACAUAGUUCACGGCAUAUAGCAGCAGAUUUUCUUUUUAAUUUUUUUUUAAAAUUGGAGUUCAUGCGGUCAUCUUGAAAGCACUUUGUGACAUUCGUGUGGAGGUAGAUUGAAUGUGGGUGGUGUUUUGCAGCAAGAUGACAUCAGGAACUAUAUUGACCAUUCAAUUAAACAUGGAAUUCCACUUGCAACGUUUCGUAAAGAAUGCGUUGGAGGUGACUCUCAUGGAAUUUCAUAUUGGUAUGAAGAUGAUGAAAUGGUUGGUCACAGACUUUACAGGGAGAUAAGAAAAUUUGAAGUGAAGAAGGCAAAAUCAAAGGGCUCUCAAGUCCCACUCAAUGCAUCAUACCAGUGGGAAACAGUUGCAAGCAAUUUUGAUGAAUUCCAAGAUGUUUCUAAGAAACUCUUCUCAAGUAAUAAUAGAACAGAGGUUUCACUAGGGAAAAAGUAAAAGAAAGACAUGCUUCCUAAGGUUGAAAGGGUUCAUAAGAGGAAAGAGAGGUUACUGAAGAAGCAACACAGACAAGCUCCUUCUUGAUAAAUUUUACAAUAUGGAUGGGCUUGCUCCAAGGUGCUCCAUUCGAGAUAGAAAACCUGUCACAUAUACUUUUGGGAUGAUUUAGAAAGAAAUUCAUGGCAACCAAUCCUUACUUUGGAAAGAUAGUGACGAGGGUGAGUAUUUAGUGUUUAGUGUUUAGGACAAGAAGAAGAAAUAUAUGUUGUUUGACAAUGUAUUUAGUGUUUUAUUAUAUUUGUAAUUUUUAUUAGAGUAAAUGAUUCUUGUUUGAAUGGUUAAUUAUUUACUUUGUAAAUCUAGUUAUAUAUUUUUUAAGGUCAAGACGAUUAUAAUUUUAAUAAGUUUUAUUUUAAUCUAUAAAUUUUUAGAUUAAUUUGUAUAUAAA